rnacentral:miRNA from 1 species
UUUUGAACUUCGCAACAAUCUUGUGAACUUCGCAACGAAGUUCGGAAACUUCGUUGCGAAGUUCACAAGAUUGUUGCGAAGUUCAAAAGU